rnacentral:lncRNA from 1 species
CUGGAUGCUAAAUAAAUACCAUAAAAGAAAUACAAAAAUAGAAUAAAAUCAAAAAAAGGUGAAACCUACCCAGUAUUCAAGGAAAGUAAAAUUUAAAAAUUAUGAUGAAACAUUAUCCAUUUAAAUUUUAUAAGCUUCAUUCGUUGGUUCUAGAUAACCGACUAAAUAUAGAACACAUGAUGUGAGCUUACUGGAGUAUUUGAUAGAAUUAAUGUUUAAAAUUACAAGAAAAUGACACAAGCAAAAUGCAUGCUUAAAUGCUUGAUAUGAUGAAGCCAACAUAGAAAUAUCAUUUUAUUAAAAUUGGGGAACAUAAGUUUGGUGAGUUUUCUAAUUUGGUCGAGUUAACUAACUCAGGAUAGACACAGGCCAAACCUGAUUUAGUCAUAAUCCUGCUCUAAAGCUUUGCAAUUGAUAUGAAUUUUCACCAACUAGAAUGAAAAAAAAUGAUUCAGCUUGGCCAAAAACCUUUCAAUAUGGGGUACUUUGUGAGCUCAACGAACAAAUAUGUGAAAUUUAUAGUUAAAGGAAUCAACAUUAUACCUUGUGAAGGCAUUGAACUUGUUAAAUUGUUUUGAUCCAAAUCUAAGGAAUUAAGCGAAGAUAAAUUUUCAAAAGCUAUGGGUAUCCCUCUUGUGAGCUGAUUUUGUCCAAGAUCAACCACUCUAAGCUUCUACAUUUCUAGAAGGCCUGAAGUAUAUAGCCAUGGAUAUAAACAAAGAAGAUGAUAUAAAGCAUUACACUCAAUGUAUUAAUGAUCUCAUGAUAGAGAAAUAAUUGCAAAUUAAUGACCCUAUAAGUAAUUACCUUCCAUAUUAAGUGCGCCAUUUAGCUAAUUUUGUUUUAAGAUUCAGGACACUAAGUGAACACAGAUUUUGAGAGAUAAUGGAAUCAUUCCAAUGAGACUGUUAUAGGUAAGAUCAAGGAUUUCCAACUUUCUAAAUCUUGAUAUAUUUAUCAAUUAUAAAGUUCCCCAAUAAAAUGAAUCUAAAUAAAAAAUAUUUACAACA